UACGGGGGGAGCAAGCGUUGUUCGGAUUUACUGGGCGUAAAGGGCGCGUAGGCGGCGUAAUAAGUCACUUGUGAAAUCUCCGGGCUUAACUCGGAGCGGCCAAGUGAUACUGUUGUGCUAGAGUGCGGAAGGGGCUACUGGAAUUCUCGGUGUAGCGGUGAAAUGCGUAGAUAUCGAGAGGAACACCUGCGGCGAAGGCGGGUAGCUGGGCCGACACUGACGCUGAGGCGCGAAAGCCAGGGGAGCGAACGGG
rnacentral:rRNA from 1 species